UGUUUCUAUUCAUAAGUUAUAAUAGCAACAACUUAUCUAGUUCCCUCACUUUUCCCCUUUUACUCAAAUUAUUAUAAACUCUUCUUAUUCCUAUCAUGUCAAUUCAUCUUAGCUAAAAAUAUUGCCCUGAGCAAAAGAUGCCGUAUCUAUACCUAUGUACAUCAUUCAUUCACACAAACAAACAAAACAUUAGCAAAAACAACAACCACAACAACAACAAGCACUGGUCUAUCAAAAACUCUACAAACAAGUUGUAACAGUGAAAAAUCAAAAUAUGAUAUAAUGUAACAGUCUUACAUGAAAACACUGAGAUAUGACAUGUGGUUUAGUGAGAAGAGCCCUGCCUUGGGAGUCAGGAGGCCCAUAUUCUAAUUUUGGAUGACUUUGGGCAACUCAUUUAGCAUUUCUAGGCUUCACUUUUUCUCACUAUUAAAAUGUAGGUUGGACUGGAUCAGUGGAUCUCCGUAGUGAUCCAGGGGUCCAUACCCUUCACAGGAUUGCAUGAAGAGCUUUUUCCCCACCAGAGACUUUCGGGGACUGGGGAAGGCAUGGCAGAAUUCCUCCAGGAUAAGAGUUGGAAGACAUGAGAAGGUGGUGGUGGUAAGAAUAAUUCGUUAUCUUCUGUGUUUCUCAGCAGGGUAUCUGGAGUUCAGUGGAGAAACUGGAAUGAAUCCACUCAAAGAGGGGAAGUUUCCAAAAAAUAAAGACAGCAGUGAUAGAUAAGAACUGAAAGGCAGGAGCAUACAUGUGUCCUGUUCUUCUCUUACUAUGCUUGGAUCAAAAUUUUAACUACAGUGAACCUCAAGACUCUGAAAUGCCCCAGGUGCAGUUUGACAGGAUUCAUGAUGAGGAUGUGGCUACAUGCAUCUCAAAAGGACUAGUACCUCAUGCCCAUUGUGACAUGGCUGGACCGGGCAGGGAGGGACCUGAGCAACCACAGCAUCGUGGAAAUCCUGGAGGAGCAGAUGAAUGGCUUCUGCAGGGUGUUCCCCAUCCUGAAAUACCUUGUCAAGUUAAAUGA
rnacentral:lncRNA from 1 species